UUGACUGAGUUUCAGCCAGGGGGUUGUGUGUGUGUGUAUGUGUGUGGGUGUGUGUGUGUGUGUGUAUGUCUUCGUGUGUGUGUGGGUGUGUGUGUGUGUGUGUGAGGGCGGUCCCCUCCUCUGUUUGAUUCUGAUCAGGAAGGAAGCUGCAGCAGAACCAGAAGAACAGACAGGGAGGCAGGUCUCCUCUCCAGUGGAACCAGUUUCCUGAGGCAGAACCCUGAAUGUUUUCCAGACUUUAGAUUUCAGCUGUGAUGAAGCUGAUGGUGAAGGUCCAGUAUCCGCCCCACCUUUAUCAAGGCCAGAGGACUCCAAAGUUCUUCAUGCUACCAUUUCCCCAGCGCCCCCUGCUGGGCCCUCUGACCUCCAGCAGGAGGCAGCUGGAAGUCCUGCUCCAGGACACAACCAUAACGAACCAGCAACCCACCGACUGAGGGACCAACUCCUACACUCCUACCCUGAUUUGUCCUGAUUUACCCUGAUUGCCUUCCAGUCGCUGUCAGCAACUGCCAACAUGACUCCCUUCCUGCUGCAGACCAUCUCUGGCUGGCCGGGGUUAGCCAGAGCCCUUGCUGCUGUCAGGCUGCUACCGGCUGCUGGAGGACAGGUUUUUACACUGAGAGAAGACUAAAGCAUCACAAUUUAGUAUAUUGCAGCAAAG